rnacentral:rRNA from 1 species
UACAGAGGGUGCGAGCGUUAAUCGGACUUACUGGGCGUAAAGCGCGCGUAGGCGGCUUUGCAAGUCGGGUGUGAAAUCCCCAGGCUUAACCUGGGAACUGCAUUCGAGACUGCAUUGCUAGAGUAUGGGAGAGGGAAGUGGAAUUUCAGGUGUAGCGGUGAAAUGCGUAGAUAUCUGAAGGAACAUCAGUGGCGAAAGCGACUUCCUGGACCAAUACUGACGCUCAUGUGCGAAAGCGUGGGGAGCAAACAGG